GCUCCGCGGAUGCCUAUGUCAAAGCCAAUCUGCUGCCAGGGGCCAGCAAGGCCAGCCAGCUUCGGACACACACCGUUCGGGGCACGAGGGUACCUGUCUGGGAGGAGACACUCACCUAUCACGGCUUCACCCGCCAGGAUGCUGAGUGCAAGACCCUUAGGCUGUGUGUGUGCGAGGACCCAUGGUACAGCGACAGUGGCAGGCACCUUCCCUGGGGGAGCUGCGGGUGCCCCUGAGGAAGCUGGUGCCAAACCGAGCCAGGAGCUUUGACAUCUGUCUGGAGAAGCGGAGGCUGGCCAAGAGGCCCAAGAGCCUGGACACAGCCUGUGGCAUGUCCCUCUAUGAGGAGGAGGUGGAGACAGAGGUGGCCUGGGAGGAAUGUGGGCACGUCCUACUGUCACUGUGCUACAGCUCUCAGCAGGGUGGCUUGCUGG